AGAAGCAGCCAUCAUUUAAAGAAAGCGUAAUAGCUCACUGGUCGAGUCGGCCUGCGCGGAAGAUGUAACGGGGCUAAACCAUGCACCGAAGCUGCGGCAGCGACGCUUAUGCGUUGUUGGGUAGGGGAGCGUUCUGUAAGCCUGUGAAGGUGUGCUGUGAGGCAUGCUGGAGGUAUCAGAAGUGCGAAUGCUGACAUAAGUAACGAUAAAGCGGGUGAAAAGCCCGCUCGCCGGAAGACCAAGGGUUCCUGUCCAACGUUAAUCGGGGCAGGGUGAGUCGACCCCUAAGGCGAGGCCGAAAGGCGUAGUCGAUGGGAAACAGGUUAAUAUUCCUGUACUUGGUGUUACUGCGAAGGGGGGACGGAGAAGGCUAUGUUGGCCGGGCGACGGUUGUCCCGGUUUAAGCGUGUAGGCUGGUUUUCCAGGCAAAUCCGGAAAAUCAAGGCUGAGGCGUGAUGACGAGGCACUACGGUGCUGAAGCAACAAAUGCCCUGCUUCCAGGAAAAGCCUCUAAGCAUCAGGUAACAUCAAAUCGUACCCCAAACCGACACAGGUGGUCAGGUAGAGAAUACCAAGGCGCUUGAGAGAACUCGGGUGAAGGAACUAGGCAAAAUGGUGCCGUAACUUCGGGAGAAGGCACGCUGAUAUGUAGGUGAAGUCCCUCGCGGAUGGAGCUGAAAUCAGUCGAAGAUACCAGCUGGCUGCAACUGUUUAUUAAAAACACAGCACUGUGCAAACACGAAAGUGGACGUAUACGGUGUGACGCCUGCCCGGUGCCGGAAGGUUAAUUGAUGGGGUCAGCGCAAGCGAAGCUCUUGAUCGAAGCCCCGGUAAACGGCGGCCGUAACUAUAACGGUCCUAAGGUAGCGAAAUUCCUUGUCGGGUAAGUUCCGACCUGCACGAAUGGCGUAAUGAUGGCCAGGCUGUCUCCACCCGAGACUCAGUGAAAUUGAACUCGCUGUGAAGAUGCAGUGUACCCGCGGCAAGACGGAAAGACCCCGUGAACCUUUACUAUAGCUUGACACUGAACAUUGAGCCUUGAUGUGUAGGAUAGGUGGGAGGCUUAGAAGUGUGGACGCCAGUCUGCAUGGAGCCGACCUUGAAAUACCACCCUUUAAUGUUUGAUGUUCUAACGUUGACCCGUAAUCCGGGUUGCGGACAGUGUCUGGUGGGUAGUUUGACUGGGGCGGUCUCCUCCUAAAGAGUAACGGAGGAGCACGAAGGUUGGCUAAUCCUGGUCGGACAUCAGGAGGUUAGUGCAAUGGCAUAAGCCAGCUUGACUGCGAGCGUGACGGCGCGAGCAGGUGCGAAAGCAGGUCAUAGUGAUCCGGUGGUUCUGAAUGGAAGGGCCAUCGCUCAACGGAUAAAAGGUACUCCGGGGAUAACAGGCUGAUACCGCCCAAGAGUUCAUAUCGACGGCGGUGUUUGGCACCUCGAUGUCGGCUCAUCACAUCCUGGGGCUGAAGUAGGUCCCAAGGGUAUGGCUGUUCGCCAUUUAAAGUGGUACGCGAGCUGGGUUUAGAACGUCGUGAGACAGUUCGGUCCCUAUCUGCCGUGGGCGCUGGAGAACUGAGGGGGGCUGCUCCUAGUACGAGAGGACCGGAGUGGACGCAUCACUGGUGUUCGGGUUGUCAUGCCAAUGGCACUGCCCGGUAGCUAAAUGCGGAAGAGAUAAGUGCUGAAAGCAUCUAAGCACGAAACUUGCC
rnacentral:rRNA from 1 species